UACGUAGGUGGCAAGCGUUGUCCGGAUUUACUGGGCGUAAAGGGCUUGUAGGCGGUUCGUUAAGUCCGGUGUGAAAUCUCCCGGCUCAACUGGGAGGAGCCAUCGGAAACUGGCGAGCUAGAGGUGGGCAGAGGAAAGCGGAAUUCCCGGUGUAGCGGUGAAAUGCGUAGAGAUCGGGAGGAACACCGGCGGCGAAGGCGGCUGCCUGGACCGGCCCUGACGCUGAGGCGCGAAAGCUAGGGGAGCAAACAGG
rnacentral:rRNA from 1 species